CCGUGAUAUGCCAGUUUUCAGCAGCGGACCCUAACGGCAUCCCUGAACAGAACCUGGCUUUGGUUUAGCUUGUAAGAUGUAGGGAAACCCUCACGAAUAAACAGAGUUAAGAAGAAAUUUAUAUAAUGUUUCCUCCUGAAAAAAAGCUCCAACACUUUUAGAGGCACGCUUGAGCCCAUGAGGACCAUCGAGAGUUUGGUGCUUGCAUCCAGAAUCUGGUGUGUUGCGUGGCUCUGACAGUGCUAGUAUAUGGGGAACGACACCUGAAACUAGCAGAGGCCCCAUGCCAGAUUUGCUAAAGCAUAUGUCAAGUUAAAAGGUAAUUUUACAUAGAUGCUGUGAGUACAUUGUGAAUCUCAGUCUCAAUUUGUAAUUGCCUUAUGUUUACCUUAAUCUUUACAUACUUCAAUUCAGGAUUAACAUUCCGCUAGGUCUGGCCGACCUUUACAC
rnacentral:lncRNA from 1 species